rnacentral:rRNA from 1 species
GAUGAACGCUGGCGGCGUGCCUAAUACAUGCAAGUCGAGCGAACGGACGAGAAGCUUGCUUCUCUGCUGUUAGCGGCGGACGGGUGAGUAACACGUGGAUAACCUACCUAUAAGACUGGGAUAACUUCGGGAAACCGGAGCUACUACUGCCUAAUAUUUUGUACCGCAUGGUUCAAAAGUUAAAGACGGUUUUGCUGUCUCUUAUAGAUGGAUCCGCGCUGCAUUAGCUAGUUGGUAAGGUAACGGCUUACCAAGGCAACGAUGCAUAGCCGACCUGAGAGGGUGAUCGGCCACACUGGAACUGAGACACGGUCCAGACUCCUACGGGAGGCAGCAGUAGGGAAUCUUGCGCAAUGGGCGAAAGCCUGACGGAGCAACGCCGCGUGAGUGAUGAAGGUCUUCGGAUCGUAAAACUCUGUUAUUAGGGAAGAACAUAUGUGUAAGUAACUGUGCACAUCUUGACGGUACCUAAUCAGAAAGCAACGGCUAACUACGUG